GAAAUAAAACGAAAAUUGAAAAAAAUAAUAUUUUCAAACGUGUUUUAAAAUAUUAAUUUUUAAAAAUAGAAAAAUAAAAUUAUUAAUUAUGCAGCAAUUAAAAUGUAAUUUUUCCUUCUCUUUUUUUGAGGAAGUCCAAGUGUGCAAAAACAGCGGGCCUUCCGGUCUCUUUCAUUUCACAGCAGCUCUAGCCGCCCAUCUGAGUCAUUUUACAAUUGCCUUAGCCGCACCCCCGACUUCUUCCCUCAAUCCUUCCGUUUCUUUUUGGGUGUUCCUUCUUCGGUCGUUCCUAGGUUCCAGCAUUUCUUAUUCGACACACAGAUCUGCCGCGAUCUCACUUCUCAGACUACAUUUUUUCUUCGGCUUGUUCUCUGACGCAUUAUCAGCAGAUCGGUUAGUUUUCAUCAAGUAAUUUUUAUUUGGGUCUUCAUAUCUUUAAAUGGUGCUCAGUUUCUUUAAACUAUAAUUAAUAAGUUUACUGUGGAUAUGCAUUCUAAAGACGCAGAUUUUUGUUGGGUUUUACUUUUUUCUUUAAUAUAAUUGUUGCUUUUCAAUCUACUAUUCUGGAUUAGUUUAUUUUUAAUGCUAUUUUUAUUUUGAAAACCUCUUCUGAAGGGAGCUAGCUUGUUUCUCCUGUGUCUUUCGUUUUUGCAGUAGUGGGCAUAUUUAUUAUCUAUUUUCCUUAAAUGUUUCCUCAUAUUAUUGAUCUGCAUUUGAACGAUGGGUUUUAUUAUAUGUGUUGUGCAGAAGUGUAAUGAGUUCACUUGGAUAUGAUAUUUGGGUGGUAGUUUCAAGUUUGAUAUACAAUCAUUCUUUUUCAGUGGAUGUUGAAUUCUAAACCUAUUGUAGGCCUGUAGUAAAUACCAUAGGUCCCUAUAAGCUUAAUUGGGUUUCAGUUACUUUUUUUAUGAUAGUGUAGUAUUUGGCUGUUUAAAGAUAUGUUAAGUGUUGAAUUACAUUGAUAUUUAAUUGGUCUCUAUGUUCCCUGUUUUUUAUCAUGCAAAUUAUUAUUCUCUAAAGAUAAGAAAAAUAGCAGAUCAGUUGGUUGGAGAGUUGUUCUAUAACAAAUCUGGAGCUUGGGGUUCUUGUUGAUAUAAGUUGCUUUAUUUUCAGAAAAUAUUAGCUAUUGUGAAAUGGGAGUUUUUUUUUUUCCCCUUGUAACAUCAUAAAAACAACAUAAUUUUUGGGGGCCAUUUGACUUUAUGUAGGAUGAGGUGGU
rnacentral:misc_RNA from 1 species